ACAAGACUUCUAGAUGUAAGAGGAGUUUAUUGUUGUUAGACUUGUACUGAUCCCACACUUGUUAUGCAUGUCAAACAUCCACCUCCGAUAGGAUUCUACGGGAUGAAGAUUCCCCAAUUGUUCAAACCUAAUAGGAUUCAACCACCUAACACUAUAAAUACAUGGUUUCACCUCAUCAUUCAGGUACUCUUUUUAUACAAUUUUCAGUCCAUAGCCUCACGCACAUAUUCUAACUUAAGCA
rnacentral:lncRNA from 1 species